ACACUGCGGGUGGUGUUUGACUGUGGUGCAGCAUGCAAGGGAACGUCGCUGAACCAACAGCUCUUGCAAGGUCCAAACCGCACAAGUACAUUGCUAGGGGUCCUCAUUAGGUUCAGACAGGAACCGGUGGCAGUAAUGGGUGACAUCCAAGCAAUGUUCCAUCAGGUCAAAGUAGCAGAGGAGGACAGAGAUUUCCUGCGCUUUUUGUGGUGGCCAGAGGGAGAUCUUACCAAGGAGGUGGCUGAAUUCCGCAUGACUGUCCAUCUGUUUGGGGCAGUGUCCUCCCCAAGUUGUGCCAGCUUUGCUUUAAGAAAAACAGCAGAUGACAAUCAGCUUGACUUUCCAGCUGCAGUGGUUCAGACAGUCAAAGAGAACUUUUAUGUGGACGACUGGCUGAAGAGCAUGGGCACAGAAGAGGAAGCCACACACAUGGUUAAUGAUCUGACUUCUCUCUGCCAGCGGGGAGGUUUCACUCUAACCAAAUGGAUUAGCAAUAACCGUACCAUGCUGCAAACUCUUCCUGAGGAGCACAGAGCUAAGGAUCUGAUAGAACUGAAUCUCGAUAAAGACCAACUGCCUGUGGAAAGAGCUCUUGGGCUGCAGUGGUGUGCUGAGACUGACUCAUUUAAUUUCAAGAUGGAGGUCCAGCAAAAGACUUGCACUAGAAGAGGAAUGUUGUCCGUCUCUAGCUCUGUGUAUGAUCCUCUGGGGUUUCUUGCACCAGUUGUGUUGCCUGCUAAAAGCAUGCUACAGGAGCUGUGCAGAAGAAAUUUUGGAUGGGACGAGACCAUACCCCAGGACAUUUUGCAUCAAUGGACAAAAUGGAUGGAAGACCUGGAUAUGCUCUCUGAGUUUAAGGUCGGAAGGUGUGUUAAACCUAAGGAUUUUAGACAUCCCAUACAUGCUCAGCUACAUCAUUUUUCAGACGCUAGUGAAACAGGAUAUGGAGCUGUCACCUAUCUCAGGAUGCAGAAUGAGAAAAAUGACAUCCAUGUUGCAUUUCUGAUUGGUAAGGCAAGGGUUACACCUUUAAAGACAGUUACCAUUCCACGCUUGGAGCUGACGGCUGCUGUCCUGGCUGUUCGUGUUGACCUCAUGCUAAAGGCAGAGCUGAGGCUUCAGCUGCAGGAGUCAGUCUUCUGGACGGAUAGCACGUCUGUGCUGAAGUACAUCAUGAAUGAGGACAAGCGUUUCCAUACGUUCGUAGCCAACAGGAUCUCAACUAUCAGAGAGGCCACUAAAACUUCACAAUGGAGGUAUGUGAGCUCUAAAGAAAAUCCUGCGGAUAUUGCAUCCAGAGGAGUGAGAGUUGGAAAUUUCAUACAGGACAACAGGUGGAUUCAGGGUCCAAAGUUUCUGUAUGAACCAGAAGGUAACUGGCCAGCAAAGCUGGUAGAUAUUGCUAUAUCAGCAACUGACACAGAGGUCAAGAAGGAAGCCACGGUGAAUGUCAUCCAUGUGGAAGGUUCACCUGAAGCCACUGGUCGGCUAAUAGCCUACUUUUAGACUGGAUGAAGCUUAAAGUAUCUGUUGCCUGGUUUCUUAGGCUGAAAGGCAUUCUGCUGGAAAAAUGUUGCAGGAGGAAGGAGACGGAGGCUUCCAAUACCAGCAAAAUAAGAUCAGACACGCCUAAGAAACAAGCUUUGACAGUUCAGGAACUUUUGGAGGCUGAACUAGCUAUCAUUCAGUAUUGUCAGCAGCAAAGAUUUGGAGAGGAAAUUGCUGCACUGUCAUCUGGGAAGGCUACUGUGAGCAGAAGCAGCAUUCUUUACAGGUUGGAUCCAUAUUUGGAUAAUGGGCUUCUGAGAGUUGGAGGGCGGUUAACAAAGGGCUCACUGCCAGAGGAAACUAAACAUCCACUUCUACUCUCAAAGGAUCAACAUGUCACCACUCUUAUCCUGAAGCACAUUCACAUACGGUUUGGUCAUAGUGGACGCAAUCACACUCUGUCCACACUGAGAAGAAGGUGGGUCACAAGUGCCAACUCAGCUGUCAGAAAGGUCAUUGCAGAAUGUGGUGUUUGCAGGAGGUAUAAUGGAAGAAUGAUGAAGCAAAAAAUGGCAGAUUUGCCAAAGCAAAGGAUUCUUCCUGAUUAUCUGCCAUUUACCAAUGUUGGCAUUGACUAUUUCGGACCAAUUAUUGUAACCAAAGGACGAGGUACAGUCAAGCGCUAUGGCGUGGUUUUCACCUGUCUAACCAACGGAGCGGUCCAUUUGGAAGUGGCUAACUCUCUGGAUACAGAUUCAUGCAUCAAUGCUUUACGUCGUUUCAUCUACAGAAGAGGUCAAGUUGCUCAUAUUCAAUCUGACAAUGCAACUAACUUCAUAGGAGCAGAGAGAGAGCUAAGAGAGGCGCUUGCAUCACUGAAUCAUGAUCAGAUUCAAGCAGCUUUGAGGAAGGAUGCAGUUAACUGGAGUUUUAAUCCCCCAGCAGGUUCACAUCACGGUGGAGUCUGGGAGCGUAUAAUCCGCAUGGUAAGAAGGAUUCUGAGUUCAGUGCUUCAACAACAAAGACUGGAUGAUGAUGGACUUCAAACAGUGAUGUGUGAAGCUGAAGCCAUCUUAAACGAUCGUCCCAUCACCAAGCUCUCCGAUGAUCCAAACGAUCUGGAACCGCUCACCCCCAACCAUAUUCUGCUCAUGAAGGGAAGACCAUCUUUACCACCUGGAUUGUUUGAGCCACAUGAUCUGUAUGUAAAGCGAAGAUGGAGACAGGUCCAGUAUAUAUCUGACCUUUUCUGGAAACGCUGGAUACGGGAAUAUCUACCUCUACUGCAGGAAAGGCAAAAGUGGAACCAGGAGGUGCUGGUGGCAGAGGUGGAGGAGCGACAGCGUGUUUUGUUUGGCAGCCUGUCCAGUGGCGUCAGUGCAAAACAAAAACGCUUGGAGUGGGAGAAAGUUUGCGAGAGGGUGAAUGCGGUGGGUUCCGAGACACGCACCCCCGCGAAGAUUAAAAAAAAGUGGUCGGACCUCAAGGUGGAGGUCAAGCGGCGUACAGCUGCCCUCCGGAGGAGUACUGGCCAGACAGGUGGGGGUCCGGGGGAGGAGACCCUCACGCCGUUUGAGCAGCGGGUGGUGGCGAUUAUUAUUAUAGGGUAAGUGGCGUGUCACACAAAUGUCCACAUGCUUUGUCAUCCCACUGAGCAAAAGACGUAUAUUAGACAUCUAGUCUAAGUUUAUACUUCAUUUCAACGUCAGGAUUCAGUCUAUUUUUAGAUGUGAUUUAUACUUCGCCCUUAACUUCAUUUUUCGAUAACUUUUUAUGCAAUAAACAACUGUAAUGUGCAUAACUGACCUCUAAAUACUGGAUUACAUUACCUAUGAUACCGUGGAGAGAGAUGUAAACGCAACAGAUACACAGAAGCAGGAAUUGAAAUGAACCAAUAUUUUUAUUGUGUCACAGAAAUCAAUGUGUCGGCCAUGUCGCCGGCUUGCGGAACCC